rnacentral:rRNA from 1 species
UGGUGGAGUGAUUUGUCUGGUUAAUUCCGUUAACGAACGAGACCUCGACCUGCUAAAUAGUCCGGCUCGCCCCUCGGGGCGGGGUCCGCGGCUUCUUAGAGGGACUAUCGGUGCGUAGCCGAUGGAAGUUCGAGGCAAUAACA